UGGGGAAUAUUGGACAAUGGGCGCAAGCCUGAUCCAGCAAUGCCGCGUGUGUGAAGAAGGCCUUCGGGUCGUAAAGCACUUUUAUCAGGAGCGAAACGCUGUCGGCUAAUACCCGGCGGAACUGACGGUACCUGAGGAAUAAGCACCGGCUAACUUCGUGCCAGCAGCCGCGGUAAUACGAAGGGUGCAAGCGUUAAUCGGAAUUACUGGGCGUAAAGCGUGCGUAGGCGGUUUCUUAAGUCUGCUGUGAAAUCCCCGGGCUCAACCUGGGAAUGGCAGUGGAUACUGGGAGGCUAGAGUGUGUCAGAGGGUGGUGGAAUUCCCGGUGUAGCGGUGAAAUGCGUAGAGAUCGGGAGGAACAUCAGUGGCGAAGGCGGCCACCUGGGACAACACUGACGCUGAGGCACGAAAGCGUGGGGAGCAAACAGGAUUAGAUACCCUGGUAGUCCACGCCCUAAACGAUGCGAACUGGAUGUUGGUCUCAACUCGGAGAUCAGUGUCGAAGCUAACGCGUUAAGUUCG
rnacentral:rRNA from 1 species